rnacentral:rRNA from 1 species
CCGGGUUUGAACGUGUGCUGUACCGGAGUGGGAAACACUCCUUCUGGGCAAUAGCAGGUUGA